AUGGGGCGGUGGAGGCUGGGGCGGUGGCGGAGACGGUGGUGGAGGCUGGGGCGGUGGAGGCGGAGGAGGAGACGGUGGUGGUGGUGGAGGCUGGGGCGGUUGGGGUGGAGGUGGAGACGGCGGCGUAGGCAUGGGAGGUGGCGGAGGCGGUGGAGGUGGUGGCGGUUGUUGAGGAGCACAUCAUUCAUUCAAGUUCUUGAAAAAAGUCGGAACAGGGGUUCAAGCAGCACCGCCGGCGAAAAGCAUCGAUCGAUCGCCAACAUGGUUGCAAGAAUGUGUUGUGUUUUACGCCUUGAACUCCAUGACUCCGUGUUGACUGUAAAUAUUUGUAUAUUUGUAUUCGUAUCUUACGCAUAA
rnacentral:rRNA from 1 species